UCAGGUCCUUUCAACUUCUGCUGCUCUGCACACAGACUCCUUCACCAGGAACAUUUAAUCAGGUCCUCUUAACUUCUGCUGCUCUGCACACUAACUCCUUCACCAGGAACAUUUAAUCAGGUCCUCUCAAUUUCUGCUGCUCUGCACACAGACUCCUUCACCAGGAACAUUUAAUCAAAUUUUCUCAAUUCAACUAUCACUGCCCUGAUGCUCAAAACAUCAUGAGUUUGGAAUGCUCAUCCAUGUAAAUGAUUCGCAAGUGGUUCUUUUUAAUGACUGCCUAUAAUUAUGCAUGAUUAACUUAAAUCUUAUUAACUCACUAACACGACUAACCUCACUAACUUAAUCAGUUAUUAUAAAAACCACUUGCUGAGUUCUAUUAUAAAGGUCUUACUUAUGUUGCUUCAAAGACGGUGCUGAUUAUCAUCAGGAUAAACAACUUCAAGCCAAGUAGUCUUCAACUCUGGAAUUACUCGAGACUUGUUCUCCAGCGAAAAUAAUCGCUCGAUCUUCAAAUUAUGCUGUCCCAAGUAACUAUCUCCGUCUUGUCGUCAGAGAAGGUGUCUACUGUGAUAUAUUGAAUAGUUAA